CAGAAUCCAAUACCUCACUGGAAGUGGUUGGCACGAGAGAGAGGAGAGUGUCUGAGCUCCUUAUUAGAGGGAAAAUAUGAAUUCUUUUGCAUAUACAGAGAAUCUCAAACAUGAUCAGAGGACAGGCUGAAACUGUUUUAACAUCUGUGCCAAGAAAGCUCUGCGCUCAGUAGCUGUCUUUCUAAAUAAAGUGCUCUUAUAUAGCAUAUUCCAGAUGAAAAAAGUAGAUGGCAGCAGCAAAACAUAAAGACAGUUAGCAUGGAUUCCUGAAAGCUUCAACAUCAAAAAGAUGGCCCAUGCUCGUGAGAAUUACGGAAUUCCAGCUGGAUGAAGCAGACCCUGAAAUACUCUUAUAACUCAACACAAUUCAUUUUGCUGGAUCCUAAAAGUAUUCAAACUUACUAAGCUUUCCAAAGGAGUCACCUUAAGGUCACUAAGAUAAUUAAGGGAUUGCUCAAGAUAGAUACCCCUUAUUUAGCAUGGAGAAGAGAAGGCUCGAGGGGAUCUUAUCAACGUAUAUAAAAAUCAGAUGAGGAGACAAAAGAAGACAGAGUCAGAAUCUUCUCAGUGGUAUCCAGUGAAAGGACAAGAGGCAAUGAGCACAAACAGAAAUACAGAAGAUUGUGGCGUCCCGAUCCUUGGAUUUAUUCAAAAACAGCUGGACAUGGUCCUGAGAAACCUGCUCUAGCUGACCGUGCUUUGAGCAGGCAUUUUGGACUACAUGAUCCCAAGAAAUGCCUUCCAACCUCAACUGUUCUGUGACCCUAUGCAGGUUUUGUGGAUGUACACAAGCAGAAUAAAACCAAAAGCCCAAGAGACAACACCCAUGGACAGGAUCAGUCAAAAAAGGUCAAGCAGCAAAUUAUAGAUUGCAGUAGCUAAGGCACAACUCCUCCACUGGUCUCCUUCUACAAUUAAGUUGAUUGUGCUACUCUGUACAACAGGACUGUGGCAAUCAACGCCAUAAAUGAGCCCAAAAAUACAACUUUACUGAUUAAGUGCUUUUAUAAAGUUGUUCUAAGCUCCCAGUUUGAAUCUAAGUAACAAUAUUUAAACAAAAUUUCUGAGAAGUAAAGUCAUUUUAUCCUGAUAUCAUUUUUAAGUGACGAAGCACCAAUCAAGCUUACUAUAAAAAGGCUUUUAUCUAUUUAUGGAAUGAUUGUUAAUCAUGAAAAGACAGAAAACCAAAUGCAAGAAUUAUUUUUUGAAGUUUGGAAGAUCUAAUUUAGAGUCAUAGCAGACUACGUAAUAUACAGUUAAAAUGAGUAAGCCACUGAUUGGUUAAAUUAAGCACACACCAAUUUUCCCUAAUAACUGAAUAUGUAAUAAUAAUUGUCUUAAAUUGUUAUUUAUAUAAUGUACUGGUUUCAUUAACCAAAUUUAUAAAUUGCAAUGCUUUCAAUUUAUAGGACCUAUUCUCAAAAAAUAGGUGAUAAGAAUUGCAAGAAAAUCUGUAUGAAUCAUUACAAAAGUUGUAAAAAAUUGAAACAUAAAAAUUAUUUUUAAAAAAAGUAAUUUUGAUUCUAGCUUGAAAAUGUGCACAUUGUUUUGCAAUUCAUUAUCAUUUUAUAACGACAUUAUAAACAACUCUAAAAAAUACAAGUACUGCUAGUGAGUUAAAGUAUCAUAAUGGUCAUAAUGAUGUUUAAGUAUCAUGAUCAAAAUGAUCAUGAAUGAUUAAAAAUAGUUUAACAUUUUUUCAGUGAUUUUUCCCUAAAUUUGCUCAUAGUAACAAGCUACUUAUUUUUACAUUAGGACAAGCUUGCUUUCAUUCCAAGAUAACAAGCCUGACUCAAAGUAUUCUCACUUUUACUUCCUGAUUUGCCUUCACUAUGAAAAUAAAAUGAAAUAAUGUAUUAAAUAAGUAUGAGCUCUGUUAUGCAAAAGACAUACUGAAACGCCAGAGCAGUGCAAGUUAUUCUUCUAGUUGAGCUCAUUCACAUACAUAAAACUGUCCUCUAAAAACGCUGAUAAUACUCUUUUUGCCCGCUAAAGUUUUAGUGUGAUAUUUAAGCUAGUACAUAAAUGUAAAAGAUAUUGCAAGGUUUUGUCUUACUUUUCUCUGACUAAAAUCAACAGAAUAACAGUAGUUCUUCUGAACACACAUUUGACUUCUCAAGGUAAUGCUAAUUAUCCAAAUGGGUGAACCAUUCAAAGCUGACUCGCGCUGAUUUUGAAGAUGACCAGAGUUUAGAAUUUUUAGAGAUGAGAUAAACAGGCCGAAGUGCCAGAACUCAAAAAGCCAUCAUAAGGCUUGUGAAUACAUAACAUCCAAUAUAGAGAAGUCUUUUGGGACUCAACAAGAAGACAGCAGAAGAAAUGGGCCUACAUCUGGAAGUCAUAACUGGUCUUCCUCUCUACCGUUUCAUUCCUUGAGGAAAGAAGAUUAAAUUAGAGAGAACAGAAAUCGGACAAGUAAAAACCUCAAGGAAGCUCUAAUGAUUAACUGUUUUAAAAAGCUGAGGAGAAGUCAAAGGGGAAGUUACUAGUUCCUUGUUUACCCAUUAAAAAGGAGAUGUAAUAUAAACAUUGUUACUAUUUUUGCUUUUAUAAGUACGUAAGUUUGAAUUUUUUCUCUCUAAAACUUUCAGCAUUUCAUGUGCGAAGUUUCUCAACACAUGCUGAGGAAGGAAAUGAGAGCCUUCUGUAGGACCACAGAUCACUAAGUAUCCAGUUUUUAAAGUGAAAGGUCUAAAUACAUUAGAAGUUAUGCACCUUAUAUAGGCUUUGUAUCAGAAUUCCCAGAUUUUUUGAGGGCUUCAUUGACAUUCCCACAGAAAAGUGAACUUUAUGUCUGUAUAUGAUCAUCACAACUUACAAUUACAAUAUACCAUUAUGUGACAGGGACCUCAGAUGUGGAGUGUUGAAUUUUGAAACUCAAAAAAGGCAAGAAGUAUUGUCUUCAUUUACAUCAGCUAAUUACAUAUUCAGGCCACUUUCCGGAAACAUUGAAAAUACAUUAAAUUUUUGUCAGACUUGUAUUUCAUCCCUUUAACUUUCACAAAUAUUUCGACCCAUACUGUGGCACUAGUAUUUUCAUCUACGAAGGAAAGGAUGCAUCUGUCUCCUUUACUGUGACUGGCUAUAAGACACAUACCACAAGAAGGAGCUGAAGGUAUGGUUGUCCUGAAAUACUACGGGUUCUUUGAAGGGAGAAUAGUUCACUUUUGGUCUUUUGAUCAACAUACAUUAAUUUUACAUCAUUCCAAUCUUACUGAAUUUACCCAAUAAUAGGCGGCUGAAUUAAAGAAUAAAAAAAGAAGAUUCAGUCAUUAUUAUCAGCUUAAAUGUUGUGCUUUGAUUAUACUUUUACAAUUUUGUACCUCUCCAUUUGUAUUGCCAAACUGUGAGCUUGCUCUUAGAAAUCCCUUUGGUAGCACAAAACUAAUAAAAGCAGACAUAAUCAGCAGAAGAUCUGGUCCCACACAAUCAUGUGGAACGAGGUGAGGGGAAAAUAGGUACGGGUUUAUCUAAGCUCUUUAAAAACAAGCAGACUUUACACUCUGCUCUUUUCACUGUCUGCCAACAGGCAGCAACUGGCUCUAAAACUUGAGGUUCUUAUUCUGCAACUCUUGGGCACACAGACCUCCCACUGAUUUCUAUUAGACUUCUGAACACAAAGGAAGGUGCUGGUUCCAAAACAGCUGAAAUUCUUCACGAGUAGUAUAUACCUCUCAGAGUGUGUUACUAGCAUUUUAUAGAUUACUGAUUGCACAGUAAAAUAUAUAGCACAAAAGGAGAAGUGUGGGCAGCACGGCUGGGCUAAAGCAGUGAUUGGAUCUUUAUUUUUCCAGUGCCCUAGCUUUGAGAAGGAGUUGUGCAAAAUUAACUCUACAUGAGCAAUGCUUCAUUCUUUAAAAUUAUUUUUAUUCAAUGCAUGAGGUGUCCCUAAAAAGAAUAGCAACUCUGACCAGCUCUAAGAAAGUAAACUCCUUUUCUAUCCAAAACUAUUUGUAGGGCCAAUUUUCUACGUUUAGGCUCACACCUUUAAUUUUAACCUUUCUAUGAGGUAACAGUGCACAGAAAUAUUGGAGGUGGGUGUGGAAGGAGAAUUAUACUCAGGAAAUGAUAGGCAGCAAAUGUGUAACCGGCACUUGGUGCAUUUAUCUAAUGUAUUUUUGAUGUUCUUAGAACUGCUUAGAACAGCUUUGAAUAUCAAUAUCAAUUUUAGCAACAUCAGCAUUUACACUUCUCAUUUAGGUACAUACUGAAAAUUUAGGCUUUAUUUCUGAGUUUUUCUCCCUCCCCUCAGUGCUUCAGAGCCAGUAGACAGACACAAAGCUUUGGACCUCAAAGCAGUAGGUUGAAUGAAAUUUAGGUGAACAGCCACUGAAAAUGGUAAUUAUGGGUUGGCAACACAGUGGUCACUGCAAAAGGACUGAGGGUGUCUCAGCCUACCACCCUGAGACUACCUGCUGACUUGUUGCGAGGAUGGGAAUAAUCAAACCCGUGCCAGGAGUCUUCCUCUACCAUACACGGCCCUUCCAUUUUUGUUUCCCUGCUGCUCUCAGUGUCAUAAGUGCAGCUUUCACACUAAUAAGACCUGAGCCAAGGGUGCGUCAAUUCUGAAAAAUAAAGUCUGGGAAGACUGACUAAACCUUUUGUGUAAUUUAAUUCCUUUCAUUGGAAAAGACUUACUUGCCAAGGUAACCUUCAUAAAUAUUUCUAAUGCACUGAACUAGCAUAUUAAAGGUAAAAAAUGACAACAUACGUUGAUGCACACUUUAUACUGCACUAUUUUAAAUGUUUCCCCUUCCAUUCCCAUUCAAGAACAAUGCAAAAGAAAGUAAUUCUAAGAUCGGGCAUAUAUCUAUUUCGGCAGUUAGUAAAACAAACAUUAGAAAACACACCAUGUCCUUUUUACUUGCAGCAGUAGUAUAAAACAAUAAAAUUCUCAGUGUAAUUACCUUAAAUUUAUUUUUCUUCUCACAGUUAAACAGAAAAUGUUCUCACGCAAUAGUUAGUGCUGAACUCAUGAUAUAUUCGAUAGAUUUAUUAAGACAGCAAACAGUGCUGAAAAAAUAAAUACAGUUCUGUUUAAAAAUUUUCACAACGAAGUAUACCAAUGAUCUUGAAAAGAGUUAGACUGUGCUAUAAGUAGCGGAGAAAGCAAAGUCAUGAAAUGUUAUUACAUGUCAG